rnacentral:piRNA from 1 species
UGCAUCUUUUGGAGCCUGCCAGCAAUGA